rnacentral:rRNA from 1 species
AUUGAACGCUGGCGGCAGGCCUAACACAUGCAAGUCGAGCGGAAACGAGUUAUCUGAACCUUCGGGGAACGAUAGCGGCGUCGAGCGGCGGACGGGUGAGUAAUGCCUAGGAAAUUGCCCUGAUGUGGGGGAUAACCAUUGGAAACGAUGGCUAAUACCGCAUGAUGCCUACGGGCCAAAGAGGGGGACCUUCGGGCCUCUCGCGUCAGGAUAUGCCUAGGUGGGAUUAGCUAGUUGGUGAGGUAAGGGCUCACCAAGGCGACGAUCCCUAGCUGGUCUGAGAGGAUGAUCAGCCACACUGGAACUGAGACACGGUCCAGACUCCUACGGGAGGCAGCAGUGGGGAAUAUUGCACAAUGGGCGCAAGCCUGAUGCAUCCAUGCCGCGUGUGUGAAGAAGGCCUUCGGGUUGUAAAGCACUUUCAGUCGUGAGGAAGGUAGUGUAGUUAAUAGCUGCAUUAUUUGACGUUAGCGACAGAAGAAGCACCGGCUAACUCCGUGCCAGCAGCCGCGGUAAUACGGAGGGUGCGAGCGUUAAUCGGAAUUACUGGGCGUAAAGCGCAUGCAGGUGGUUUGUUAAGUCAGAUGUGAAAGCCCGGGGCUCAACCUCGGAAUUGCAUUUGAAACUGGCAGACUAGAGUACUGUAGAGGGGGGUAGAAUUUCAGGUGUACGGUGAAAUGCGUAGAGAUCUGAAGGAAUACCGGUGGCGAAGGCGGCCCCCUGGACAGAUACUGACACUCAGAUGCGAAAGCGUGGGGAGCAAACAGG